UGAAUACGAGAUGCUAAGGCGUCGAAGUAGUGUAUGUCAUGCUUCCAAGAAAAGCUUGCAAUGUCAUAAAUAAAGAAUGCCUGUACCAUAACCGACACAGGUGGGUAAGUAGAGUAUACUAAGGGGCGCGAGAUAACUCUCUCUAAGGAGCUCGGCAAAAUAACUCCGUAACUUCGGGAGAAGGAGUGCCUUAUUCUUAAGGUUGCAAUAACAAGAUCCAAGCAACUGUUUAUCAAAAACACAGGUCUCCGCUAAGUCGUAAGACGAUGUAUGGGGGCUGACGCCUGCCCAGUGCCAGAAGGUUAAAGAAGUCGGUUAGCAAUUGCGAAGCUGGUAACUGAAGCCCUGGUGAACGGCGGCCGUAACAAUAACGGUCCUAAGGUAGCGAAAUUCCUUGUCGGGUAAGUUCCGACCCGCACGAAAGGCGUAAUGAUUUGGAUGCUGUCUCGGAGAGGGGCUCGGUGAAAUAGACUUGUCUGUGAAGAUGCGGACUACCUGCACCAGGACAGAAAGACCCUAUGAAGCUUUACUGUAACUUGAAAUUGAAAUUGGACUUUAUUCGCGCAGUAUAGGUGGGAGGCGUUGAUUAUAAUCUUGCGGGAUUAUCGGAGCCAUCAGUGAGAUACCACUCUUCUAAUGUUAGAUUUCUAACUUUGAAUCAUUAUCUGGUCAAAGGACAAUUUCAGGCGGGCAGUUUGACUGGGGCGGUCGCCUCCUAAAUGGUAACGGAGGCGUACAAAGGUUUCCUCUGAACGGUUAGAAAUCGUAUCUAGAGUGUAAAGGCAUAAGGAAGCUUGACUGUGAGACCUACAAGUCGAGCAGGGACGAAAGUCGGUCUUAGUGAUCUGACGGUACUGAGUGGAAAGGCCGUCACUCAACGGAUAGAAGUUACUCUAGGGAUAACAGGCUGAUCUCCCCCAAGAGUUCACAUCGACGGGGAGGUUUGGCACCUCGAUGUCGGCUCAUCGCAUCCUGGGGCGGUAGUACGUCCCAAGGGUUGGGCUGUUCGCCCAUGAAAGCGGUACGCGAGCUGGGUUCAGAACGUCGUGAGACAGUUCGGUCCAUAUCCGGUGUAGGCGUUAGAAUAUUGAGAGGAGCCUUCUUUAGUACGAGAGGACCGAGAAGGACAUACCUCUGGUGUACCAGUUAUCGUGCCAACGGUAAACGCUGGGUAGCUAUGUAUGGAGUGGAUAACCGCUGAAAGCAUCUAAGA
rnacentral:rRNA from 1 species